rnacentral:lncRNA from 14 species
AUGAAAGAAUUGUUCAAAUACGGAAAGAGGAUGGGAGAUUACAGAGGUAGCAGCUGUGCUGUGUUGACCUCCAGGAAUCAAAAACCUUUCAAAAGUAGGGAUAGAAACAAGAAGACAAAAAGAACAGAAGAGGAAGGAGGAAAGACAAGUGAUGAAGAAGGCUUGCUUUCAGGCAAGGCCAGCUCAGCCUUACUCCCCAGCCAGACAAAGGAGGUCCUAAAUGUUCUGGGACUUCAGGGCCUCUGGGGCAGCUCCCACCCAUGAACAAGAGUUGUGCGUGGCUCUGCUUGGUUAUGACUCCAUUAGCUGCAGUGGGACUUCGCCAGCUCACUAUAGCUGAGGAUUUUGUUUUGGUACGUUGGGAGAAAUUGCUGAUUUACACUAGUGUGAGUAUAGGACUACAAGAGUACUAUUAACAGAUCAACUUAUAACUGAACCUUAGUAUUAAGUCUUCUUACUUCUGAAUUGGCAUCCUGAUGUCUUGAAUUGUAUACAACACUAAUGUUGAAAGUUACUGUACAAAGCUUCUGCCUUCCGCAUGGCUUAGCAAGCCCUGGAGCAGUGCUGCUAACCGUAGUUCACAGCAAUGCAAAAAGAACUCUGAUAGGUGCUGUUAACCAAUUCCAUUCUUUGUAACUCCUCACAAAUUAAAAACAAAUGCUACCUUGAGUCCUGUGACCACUUUUUUUAUACUCUACAGAACAAGGUCUGAUCUUUAUCAGGCUUUGUAAAUACAUAUAUUUUAGCCAUAUGUAAUUUCUCAGUAAUGCAUAAUUAGGGACAACUUAUCUUUUACAAGUUUUACAGCUUACCUUUACUAAAUAUCAGAAUAAAAAGAUGAGAAACCUGUGAUUUAGUAUUUUC